rnacentral:rRNA from 1 species
CUCAGCAGCCGCGGUAAUACGAAGGGACCUAGCGUAGUUCGGAAUUACUGGGCGUAAAGCGCGCGUAGGCCGUUGAGUUAGUUAAUUGUGAAAUCCCAAAGCUUAACUUUGGAACUGCAAUUAAAACUGCUCGACUAGAGUUUGAUAGAGGAAAGCGGAAUACAUAGUGUAGAGGUGAAAUUCGUAGAUAUUAUGUAGAACACCAGUUGCGAAGGCGGCUUUCUGGAUCAACACUGACGCUGAGGCGCGAAAGUAUGGGUAGCAAAGAGGAUUAGAUACCCUCGUAGUCCAUACCAUAAACGAUGAUUGCUAGAUGUUGGAAAUUUAUUUUCAGUAUCGCAGCUAACGCAUUAAGCAAUCCGCCUGGGGAGUACGACCGCAAGGUUAAAACUCAAAGGAAUUGACGG